rnacentral:rRNA from 1 species
UACGUAGGGUGCAAGCGUUGUCCGGAAUUAUUGGGCGUAAAGAGCUCGUAGGCGGUUUGUCGCGUCUGCUGUGAAAACUCGGGGCUUAACUCCGGGCCUGCAGUGGGUACGGGCAGACUAGAGUGCGGUAGGGGAGACUGGAAUUCCUGGUGUAGCGGUGAAAUGCGCAGAUAUCAGGAGGAACACCGGUGGCGAAGGCAAUCCCCUGGGCCUGCACUGACGCUCAUGCACGAAAGCGUGGGGAGCAAACAGG